rnacentral:tRNA from 1 species
GGUAGCGUGGCCGAGCGAUCUAAGGCGCUGGAUUAAGGCUCCAGUCUCUUCGGAGACGAGGGUUCGAAUCCCUCCGCUGCCA